rnacentral:rRNA from 1 species
AUGGGAAGCUUGCUUCCUAUGGACUCUAGUGGCAAACGGGUGAGUAACGCGUAAGCAACCUGCCCUCCGGAUGGGGACAACAGCUGGAAACGGCUGCUAAUACCGAAUACGUUUCCAUUGCCGCAUGGCAGUGGGAAGAAAGGUGGCCUCUGAAUAUGCUACCGCCGGGGGAGGGGCUUGCGUCUGAUUAGCUAGUUGGAGGGGUAACGGCCCACCAAGGCGACGAUCAGUA